AUGGCCAUGCGCGGUGCGUCUACCGUGGCUAGGUUCUUCGUCGUUGGUGAUGCAGGUGGCCCCGUUCUGGAUCCACACGGGGUUGCUGCCGUUUUGCUCGGGGUGGUGUGGUUCUUCUCGUCUUUGAUGUGGCAGCCUGCACACGGUGGAAUUCCCCCUCGCCGCUGCGGUCCCGGUUGGCUUCAAACCUGCGUUUUCCAGGGUCCAGCUCGCCGGAGUUCCUCCCGUAGCGGUUUUGGCCCCGGUUCUCUGGAAGUGCGGUCUUUCCGGCUUUCUGGGUUCGCUGGUGGUUUGGCGGCUCUGGCUUCGUCGAUCCAGGUCCGCAUUCUCCGGAUCCUGGCUCGUCGACAUGCCGGUUGCCGUCGCAUCCCGUGUGUUGGUUCCUCUUCAUCAUGCUGCCGCCUCUCUAACCGUGACCGCCACCCCUUGCCUCAGCCCACCCCUGCGGGGUCCAAUGCCUGUGCUUCCGGUGGCUAA
rnacentral:rRNA from 1 species